UACGAAGGGUGCAAGCGUUAAUCGGAAUUACUGGGCGUAAAGCGCGCGUAGGUGGUUUGUUAAGUUGGAUGUGAAAUCCCCGGGCUCAACCUGGGAACUGCAUCCAAAACUGGCAAGCUAGAGUAUGGUAGAGGGUGGUGGAAUUUCCUGUGUAGCGGUGGAAUGCGUAGAUAUAGGAAGGAACACCAGUGGCGAAGGCGACCACCUGGACUGAUACUGACACUGAGGUGCGAAAGCGUGGGGAGCAAACAGG
rnacentral:rRNA from 1 species